CGAUGGCCCUCUUUGUAGUCUUCCACAGCUUUCUUGAACUGCACUCAUCCUUUGGAAGUGAGCGCAUACAUCUCAAUUGCAGUUCAACAAAGCUGUGGGAAAUUACAGUGAGUAGCCGAAGA
rnacentral:pre_miRNA from 15 species